AGGAUCAACGCUGGCGGCGUGCCUAAUGCAUGCAAGUCGAACGGGAAGCCCUUCGGGGCCCGACCGUGGCGGACGGGUGAGGAACACGUGGCCAAUCUGCCCACCGGCAGGGGGUAGCCCGCGGAAACGCGGGGUAAUUCCGUAUGAUCUCGGCGUUCGAGUGGGGACGUUGAGCAAAGGUCCUUCGGGGCCGCCGGUGGAGGAGGCUGCGGCCGAUUAGCUGGUUGGUGGGGUCACGGCCUACCAAGGCGAUGAUCGGUAGCUGGUCUGAGAGGACGAUCAGCCACACGGGGACUGAGACACGGCCCCGACUCCUACGGGAGGCAGCAGCAAGGUAAUUUCCGCAAUGGGCGCAAGCCUGGACGGAGCAACGCCGCGGUGCGGGAUGACGUCGUUUUCGGAGUAGUAAACCGCGUGGUUCGGGGGACGAACGCACGUCGACGGACCCCGGAGGAACGGCCCGACUAACGACGUG
rnacentral:rRNA from 1 species